rnacentral:rRNA from 1 species
CCUACGGGUGGCAGCAGUGGGGAAUAUUGCUCAAUGGGCGAAAGCCUGACGCCGCGACGCCGCGUGAGGGAUGAAGGUCUUCGGAUCGUAAACCUCUGUCAGCAGGGAAGAACGGUCACUGUGCUAAUCAGCAGUGAAUUGACGGUACCUGCAAAGGAAGCACCGGCGAACUCCGUGACAGCAGCCGCGGUAAUACGGAGGUGGCAGGCGUUGUCCGGAUUUACUGGGUGUAAAGGGAGUGCAGCCGGGAAGACAAGUCAGAGGUGAAAUCCCGCGGCUCAACCGCGGAACUGCAGUUGAAACUGUUUUUCUUGAGUACCAGAGAAGUCAUCGGAAUUCGUUGUGUAGCGGUGAAAUGCGUAGAUAUAAGGAAGAACACCAGUGGCGAAGGCGGAUGACUGGACGGCAACUGACGGUGAGGCGCGAAAGCGUGGGGAGCAAACAGGAUUAGAUACCCCAGUAGUC